rnacentral:rRNA from 1 species
CAGUCGCCGCGGUAAUACAGAGGGUGCAAGCGUUAAUCGGAAUUACUGGGCGUAAAGCGCGCGUAGGUGGUUUGUUAAGUUGGAUGUGAAAUCCCCGGGCUCAACCUGGGAACUGCAUCCAAAACUGGCAAGCUAGAGUAUGGUAGAGGGUGGUGGAAUUUCCUGUGUAGCGGUGAAAUGCGUAGAUAUAGGAAGGAACACCAGUGGCGAAGGCGACCACCUGGACUGAUACUGACACUGAGGUGCGAAAGCGUGGGGAGCAAACAGGAUUAGAUACCCCGGUAGUCCUGUCUCUUAUACA